UACGUAGGGUGCAAGCGUUAAUCGGAAUUACUGGGCGUAAAGCGUGCGCAGGCGGCUAUGCAAGACAGAUGUGAAAUCCCCGGGCUCAACCUGGGAACUGCAUUUGUGACUGCAUAGCUAGAGUACGGUAGAGGGGGAUGGAAUUCCGCGUGUAGCAGUGAAAUGCGUAGAUAUGCGGAGGAACACCGAUGGCGAAGGCAAUCCCCUGGACCUGUACUGACGCUCAUGCA
rnacentral:rRNA from 1 species